rnacentral:rRNA from 1 species
CCAGACUCCUACGGGAGGCAGCAGUGAGGGAUAUUGCACAAUGGGGGGAACCCUGAUGCAGCGACGCCGCGUGGGUGAAGGAGUGCUUCGGCAUGUAAAGCCCUAUCGGCAGGGAAGAAGCAAGACGGUACCUGACUAAGAAGCCCCGGCUAACUACGUGCCAGCAGCCGCGGUAAUACGUAGGGGGCGAGCGUUAUCCGGAUUCACUGGGUGUAAAGGGAGCGUAGACGGCCAAGCAAGCCAGGGGUGAAAGCCCGGGGCCCAACCCCGGGACUGCCCUUGGAACUGCACGGCUGGAGUGCGGGAGGGGCAGGCGGAAUUCCUAGUGUAGCGGUGAAAUGCGUAGAUAUUAGGAGGAACACCAGUGGCGAAGGCGGCCUGCUGGACGAUGACUGACGUUGAGGCUCGAAAGCGUGGGGAGCAAACAGGAUUAGAUACCCUAGUAA